GCUCCGCUGUUAUUUUUUGCUCUGUUUUUCGAGCAAGUUGUGGCCUGGCUUAUUGAGUUCCUGGUGCUGCUAAGGACACGUCCAUAAAUGUAUGACUAGCGAAGAAGCCAGACUGCAGUUGAACUGACUUUGUACUUGAAGCAGUUUCUGAAAAAUUAUUUGAUAUAUGUUCUGCGCUGCGAAACUUCUGGGUAUAUAUUUUACCACGGAUUUGGCCAUAGAUAGAUACACAGAAAUUUACAUUUUAUACCCGACCGACAUGAGCAAUGAGCUCAUUUAUUGUUAUGGCUACAGUUUUUUGUUGGGAAAUAAAAAUAAUAAGAGUUGGAUGAUGAACCUUUUUUCAAAUAACCACCAACCCACGAAGCUAUUCCUGCAAUCAACAUUAUCUUGUGACCAAUGUUUACUUAGUUUUCAUUGUUUUUCUUUUCGGGCUUUCCUACAUUCGUUGGCCCUGAGGACAGUUUGAAUAUUUUUAUUAAUUUCUGUUCAACUUUCGACUCAGUCCUCUAUUCAUUCCCGUUGUUAAACAAGGGAACAAAUGUUUUCAUAGGGGCGCAGGAAAAUGGAGAAAAGCGCUCGAGGGCGCAGUUUGUGCCAAUUUUUAAAUUUUUUGCCGACUCCGCACGAAAUGGAAAAUCAUAAUAAAUAAAUACAGUUUUUAUUAUUAUAUAUUGUGGAAGCAAACAGCGUGAUGUGAGGGGUCCCAUGUUGUGAGCGAGCCUUUUUAUUUACUUUUUGAGGGCGGAAAGUCGAACACGCAGCCAGCCAGCCCGCAGUUCCAAUUUAUUUUCAAUGUUUCAAAUAAUUGUAAAAAAAAUAAGGAGAAGUACACGUAAAUUGAACAUUUUAGCGGGCUUUUAAGCAAUGUUCAAGGUGGCGGUGGCACUCAUCCCCACUCACCCACCUGACAGAAACAACAACCUCAUUGCACUUAGAACUUCCGCACGAUAAAAUUAAAUGACGGCUGCUGCCGCACAUCCCAGUACUUCCCUGUUCUGAGCAAUCUAUAUCAAAGUGGGAACAGCAAAAUAUACUUGAUGGAAAAAAUGGUGUGGAAUGGUGCAAGUGGUUUGGAUGGGUGGUGGGAUGGGUGGUUGGAAUCACUUAUGGCAAAGUUGUUGCCCUGAAAUUAUGUUACCAGUAACAAGGUGAAAGCGCAAAAUGAAAAAUCACUUAAACAAUUUGAUAUUUGAUUUGCCUGACUCUCAGCACUUCUGCUUAAAGAUUUAUAGAGUUUUUGCGCUCCGCAGUUCAUAAAUACACGCAUAAAAGUCGCUUGAUUUUGUAUUUUCCCACUCUCGUUUCUGUGUUUCUCCUUUUGGCCUGGACUGAAUUAUGGCUAUAACAAAUCUUCGCCCCAGUUACGGCCAACGUCACGUAGCAACAGCCAUGACUGCGGAAAGUGGGUAAAGUGCGGCGGGCACGAGGAUCGGGAACCUAGACUUUAUUGAUAAAGGCAUAAUUUAUUUGAACAAUCGACAAAACGCUUUUGUCAAUAAAGCCAGAUAAAUAUCUGGCAUUGUAGCAGCUUUAUGGUCGUUUUUUCGUCAUUCCCAUUUUUUCCGCUCUUUGUUUUGCGGUUGCGUGACAAUGGCCAAAGGAGUGGGAGAGCGCCAAGUGGGCCUGAGAUAGGUCGGCCUGGCACUCGAAAACGGUUUAUGGCCGAUACAGUGAACUAUAAAUAUAACGUACUCUGCAUGCCAACAAUUCCAUCAGCUAUGAUCGUCUGUGGUUUUAGGACUGCAUUAAUCAGAUAUUUAUUUAUUAUUGUGUGACUCACAGUUCUCUUGAAUAAAGUCCUUUAAAUUCUUUAACGCUUAUGGCCAUGUUGCAAUUUUUAACUGUGUCUGUACAAACUUUAAUCAUGAAAGUAAUUUAAUUUUAACAGUUUAAGUAGAUAAUAAAAUUGGCUUGCCAUUUUCCGGUAUUUAUGCUAGGAACCCACUUACAGCAUUUCAGUUUUACGCAUUUAUUACUUUUUUAUAUCUGCCCCCUGGUUGCAUAAUAUUGUCAAUGGUUAAUUGAAAUGUUGAGCCAUUUAUAAAUAAAAGGUCAGUUUUAAUGAACAAAUUGGUUUAAUUACUUUUGGGGAAGUGCACUGCAAGUCAAUGUAUAAAUAGCAUUGCUUGUCUGCCUACGAGCGAUGUAAAAAAUUCAACUUUCCCGGCUUUGGUAAAUAAAACGGUGACACCAUGGAAAUUUAUAUAUAUAUAUAUAUAUAUAAUACCUAUGGGUAUAUGUUUGUUCCAGCAUAUGUUAAACAAGAGGAUUUAUGCGAGUAUAACAAAAACACAGAAAGCACAGCAAAACACGUCGCACUAUUUUGCAAUUUUUUGCCUUGGCUUUAACGUGACGUGUCAGCCUGGGGGCGUCUGACUCGCCCAAAGGAUCUCGAGUCCUGGGCCCCCUCAACGCAAGAACCCAACUCACUUGGCAGGCAAACAUUAUCGCCUACGUGAGCUGGAAGCCCAAGUGAAGCAGCCAGCUGGCGUCGCAGCUCGCCACGUGUGUGGCGGCCAGUGUAUGAAGAAAGUAUCUAAAACCCCUGUCUUUUAUGUUCCCCCAUUCUGAUUAACUGAACGCGGAAAACCUCAAAUCCCAUGUAUACUGCAAAUCAUAUUACAAGCAAAGGGAACGGUUGUAGUCGGAAAAAUGGCAGAAAAUUAGAGAGCUCAUUUUUUGCAUUUUCAGUUCGAUUUGAUUCUGGCUCUUGUCAUUUAAUAUCCGCAAUUAAAGUGGUCAUCAAUCAAAGCGAAACCUAAAUGAAUUAAAAGUAAACGCAAGAACAAAGCAAAGGAUGAAUGCACGGGGCACAACAGUAAACAGAAGAACCAAAGGAACCGGGAUAAGCGGGAUGGAGCAAAUGAACGAGAAACGAAAGGAAAGAAGCGACUGAAAAGGAAACCGAAAAGCGGCGGCAACAACCGAAGGAUAUAACCCAACACAAACAGCGGUCGCUUACGCACACUGUCACACCAACGAUGACCGUUAUCGUUGUCCAGUCCCCCACUGAGAAAAAUUUGAGCCAUCAUAUUUUUAUAUUCCUCGUGCUCUGGUGAUUGCUUAAUUUGGUAUGACAAAUAUGUUAAAUGUGAAACUGUUAAAUUAUUUUUGGGAUUCUACUUUAGGUCCUUAAUUUUUUUAAUUAACCAGCCUAUUUAAACGCUCCUUAUUCUAUUCCAAUUCAAAGCAGAUAUAAAGCCGUACAAAAUUUUUCUCAGUGUACCCUUAUUCGUGCCCUGCGAGUGUCUCCGUUCAUCCAGGACAGCGAUAAACAAGUGCUAUACAAACAAAGACGGCGCUGUACGCUGAACCAUUGAUGAUUGAACAGGACAUUAAUCUAACAAAAUGCAGACAGCCUGUAUGAGGGGUGGAGGAGUGGUUCCGGGGGCGAGUAAAUCAACUGACCAACUGUGAAAGUGUCAAAUUUCAAGCCACACAUUGUUGGCUCCGCCUCUUCCCGCAUCCUACCGCGCCAACGAUGACCGAACUCCGCAUCCUGACCAGCCGCAUCCUUGUGGUUGCCGCUGCUCCUGGCCACGGAGGCAAACAUAAUUACGCGGAUGCCAAAGCUAUACAGACGUGUAUAAUAAUACCGCAGGAUCAUAUGUAUGGGCACAUACAUUUAUAUAAAUAGUGAGCUUGGGUUUCUGUUCAGCGUCAUUGGCGUUUGCGUCAUGGCACAAGGUGAAUUCAUGGCAAUAUAGUGUGUCAUUUCUAAUUUAUGUCAGUUUGCCGAUGCAUUUUAAAUGGAACACCCUCGGGACCUGCAUCUUCAGGUAGCUAUUAAAUUGCCCUGGAUAUUUAAGGACA